UCAGGGUUUGGGUUCUGGGGUGGUCUGCUGGUCUGGUACUGUGCAAUCUAUGGUAAUAUACUGUAUUCAGUUUAUACAGUAUCUAUUGUUGAUUAAUACAGUAAGUUACUGAUACAAUUACAAAAAUGGCUAACAGUGUACAAAACAAACAGAAACUCGCAGAGAGAGAGAGAGAGAGAGAGAGAGAGAGUUGCACAAUGGGUUGAACCUCCAUCACUCGGUCAAGUCAUUGCCAUUGUUAUUGCCAGCAUUGCACAGAUGCCACUGCCAUAUCGAUCUCCAAAAGUAGAAUGGAGGUUAAUGAAUUUGAACGGGAGCUAAUGACUGUUUCGCCCAGUGAUAUAGUCGUAUCACUAAACCUCGAGUCCGAAUCGAGUCCCAACCAUAAUGGCACUGACAGAGAGGGCUGCCUCGCUUCUAGUCCUUAGGAAACUUUGCAGUAUUUUGUUUUUUUGAGUAAUAUUUCUUAGUGUUAACAUUUUCUGGGCUAUGUGUUAUUACAUACAGCCGGGAAGAGCUAUUAGAUAUCAGAGCGGCGGUAACAUAUCAGCAUAACGACCAGGAAUACGACUUUCCCAAAGCGGAUGCUUUGUUUGCAACACCCAGGGAAAUUGAACUGAUUCCAGAGGCCGAAACAACGACGGCGGAGAAGAGGGAUUCGGAGCGGUCUUCUGGUCAGACUUGGAAGGCACACACAACACACCGCUUCUGAGUAUAUUACUCGCUAACAUUCAGUCCCUGGAAAACAAAGUUGACGAGAACAGGACAAUGGUUACUUUCCAAAGAGACAUCAGGGACUGUAACAUACUCUGUUUCACGGAAACAUGGCUCACUCGGGAUAUACUGUCGGAGUCAGUCCAGCCAUUUGGAUUCUCAGUUCAUCGCGCCGACAGGAAUAAACAUCUCUCCGGGAAGAAGAAGGAUGAGGGUGCACAGUUGAAGUCGGAAGUUUACAUACACUUAGGUUGGAGUCAUUAAGGUUUUAGGGGGCAGUAUUUUCAUUUUUGGGAAAAAAACGUUCCCAUUUUAAACGGGAUAUUUUGUCAGGAGAAGAUGCUAGAAUAUGCAUACAAUUGACAGCUUUGGAUGGAAAACACUCUAACGUUUCCAAAACUGUAAAGAUAUUGUCUGUGAGUAUAACAGAACUGAUGUUGCGGGCGCAAGCCUGAGAAAAAUCCAAUCCAGAAGUGCCCCAGGUUUUGAAAGCGCUGCGUUCCAAUGACUCCCUAUUCAGCUGUGAAUGUACCAUCAACGAGCUUACACUUUCUACGUGUUCCCCAAGAUGUCUACAGCAUUGACGUAGUUUUACGCAUUUAUGUUGAAGAAUAGCCAUAGGCGGCCAAAAUUUACCCAACUUAUUGUGGGAAGCUUAUGGAAGGCUACCAGAAAUGUUUGACCCAAGUUAAACAAUUUAAAGGCAAUGCUACCAAAUACUAAUUGAGUGUAUGUAAACUUCUGACCCACUGGGAAUGUGAUGAAAGAAAUUAAAGCUGAAAUAAAUAAUUCUCUCUACUAUUAUUCUGACAUUUCACAUUCUUAAAAUAAAGUGGUGAUCCUAACUGACCUAAAUAGGGAAUCUUUACCUAACUGACCUAAAACAGGGAAUCUUUAUUAGGAUUAAAUGUCAGGAAUUGUGAAAAACCGAGUUUAAAUGUAUUUGGCUAUGUAAACUUCUGACUUCAACUGUAUGUUUCAUGAUUAACGACUCAUGGUGUAAUUGUAAUGACAUACAGGAACUCAAGUCCUUUUGUUCACCCAACCCUAGAAUCCCUCACGAUCAAAUUCCAACCGUAUUAUCUCCCAAGAGAAUUCUCUUCGGUUAUUGUCACAGCCGUGUAUAUCCCCCCUCAAGUCGAUACCACGACUGCCCUCAAGGAACUUCAAUGGACUUUAUGCAAACUGAUAACCAUAUAUCCUGAGGCUGCAUUUAUUGUAGCUGGGCACUUUAACAAAGCAGAUUUGAGGACAAGGUUACCUAAAUUCUAUCAGCAUAUUGAUUUUAAUACGCGGGCUGGAAAAACACUCUACCAUUGUUAUUCUAACUUCCGGGAUGCAUACAAGGCCCUCCCCACCCCCUUUUCAGCAAUCUGACCACGACUGCAUUUUUGCUCCCCCUUCCUAUAGGCAGAAACUCUAACAGGAAGUACCCCAUGCUAAGGACUAUUCAACGCUGGUCUGACCAAUUGGAAUCCACGCUUCAAUAUUGUUUUGAUCACGCGGACUGGGAUAUGUUCCAGGUAGCUUCAGAGAAUAAUAUCAAUGUAUAUACUGGGACGGUUACUGAGUUUAUCAAGAAGUGUAUUGAAGAUGUUGUACCCACUGUGAUUAUUAAAACCUACCCUAACCAGAAACAAUGGGUAGAUGACAGCAUUAGCGCAAAACUGAAAGCGCAAACCACCGCAUUAAACCAUGGUAAGGUGACUGGUAAUAUGGAAGAAUACAUACAGAGUAGUCAUUCCCUCCCUAAGGCAAUCAAACAGGCAAAACGUCAGUAUAGAGACAAUGUGGAGUCACAAUUCAACGGUUCAGACACGAGACAUAUGUGGCAGGGUCUACAGACAAUCACGGACUACAAAAGGAAAACCAGCCAUGUCUCAUACACCGACAUCUUGCUUCCGGACAAACUAAACACAUUCUUUUCCCGCUUUGAGGAUAACACAGUGCCACCAACGCUGCCAGCUACCAAGGACUGUGGGCUCUCCUUCUCCGUGGCCGACGUGAGUAAGACAUUUAAACGUGUUAACCCUCGCAAGGCUGCAGAAUAUGCAUAGCCCAACUGGCUGGUGUGUUUACGGACAUAUACAAUCUCUCCCUAUCCCAGUCUUCUGUCCCCACAUGCUUCAAGAUGGCCACCAUUGUUCCUGUACCCAAGAAUGCAAACUACAUGACUAUUGCCCAGUAGCACUCAUGAAGUGCUUUGAGAGACGAGUCCAGGAUCAUGUCGCCUUAAAUGUCACCCACCUUACCUGUCACCCUAGACACACUUCAAUUUGCUAACCGCCCCAAUAGGUUCACAGACAAUGCAAUCGCCAUCACACUGCACUAUCCUAUCCUAUCUGAACAAGAGGAAUACCUAUGUAAGAAUGCUGUUCAUUGACUAUAGCUCAGCACUCAACACCAUAGUACCCUCCAAGCUCAUCAUUAAGCUCGAGGCCCUGGGUCUGAACCCCACCCUGUGCAAUUGGGUCUUGGACAUCCUGACGGGCCACCCCCAGGUGGUGAAGGUAGGAAACAACACCUCCACUUCGCUGAUCCUCAACACGGGGCCCCACAAGGUGCGUGCUCAGCCCCCUCCUGUACUCCCUGUUCACCCAUGACUGUGUGGCCAUGGACGUCUCCAACUCAAUCAUCAAGUUUGCAGACGUCACAACAGUAGUAGGCUUGAUUACCAACAACAACAAGACAGCCUACAGGGAGGAGGUGAGGGCUCUGGAAGUGUGGUGUCAGGAAAAUAACCUCUCACUCAACGUCAACAAAACAAAGGAGAUGAUCGUGGACUUCAGGACAUAGCAGAGGAAGCACCCAACUAUCCACAUUGGCGUGACAGCAGUGGAGAAGGUGGAAAGUCUUAAGUUCUGCGGCGUACAUGUCACUGACAAACUGAAAUGGUCCACCCACAUAGACAGUGUGGUGAAGGAGGCGCAACAGCGCCUCUUCAACUUCAGGAGACUGAAGAAAUGUUGCUUGUCACCUAAAACCCUCACAAACUUUCACAGAAAAACAAUUGAGAGCAUCCAGUCGGGCUGCAUCACCGCCUGGAACAGCAACUGCACCACCCACAACCUAAGGGCUCUCCAGAGAACGGUGCGUUCUGCACAACGUGUCAGCUGGGGCAAACUACUUGCCCACCAGGACACCUACAGCACCCAAUGUCACAGCAAUCAAUGUCUCAGUCCCAAUGUCAAAAGAUCAUCAAGGACAACAACCACCAGAGGCACUGCCUGUUCACCUCGCUAUCCUCCAAAAGUUGAGGUCAGUACAGGUGCAUCAAAGCUGGGACUGAGAGACAGAAAGACAGCUGCUAUCUCAAGGUCAUCAGACUGUUAAAUAGCCAUCACUAGCACAGAGAGGCUACUGCCUACAUACACAGACUUGAAAUCAUUGGCCACUUUAAUAAAUGGAACACUAGUCAAUUUUAAUAAGGUCACUUUAAUAAUGUUUAUAUAUCUUGCAUUACUCAUCUCAUAUGUAUAUACUGUAUUCUAUACUAUCUAUGCCGCUCUGACAUUGCUCGUCCAUAUAUUUAUAUAUUCUUAAUUCCAUUCCUUUACUUAGAUUUAUGUGUAUUAGGUACUUGUUGUGAAAUUGUUGGAUAUUACUUGUUAGAUAUUGCUGCACUGUCGGAACUUUCGGUACACCCUCAAUAACAUCUGCUAAACACUUGUAUGUGACCAAUAAAAUUUGAUUUGGAUUUGUUCUCGAGUCUGAGUCCAUGUCUGAUUCACCAAUGGUUGACUCACAAGUCCCUAUGGCUAAAGUCCGAGUCCCCUUGCUCUGAGUCACUGGGUCCACAUUAACUCAAAAUACAGUUAUUUACCCUGUCAGAUAUAGUGCCCACCAGAGAACCUGAGGGACAUUUAUAAAAGAGAUCUUAAAACAUACCUUUUUAGCAUUGCUUUUCCUUGGGGUGCUUUUUAGUCAAUAGUUUUAAUUGUUAUUCUUUUGUUUGUUGUGUAGUAAAUAUUUCAUUUUUAUUUUCAUUGUUUUUAUUUUUUAUUUUCCUGCGAAGUACAUUGUGUUGCAUUCCAUGUCUGAAAUGUGCUGUAAAUUUAGUUUGAUUUGAUUAGUGUAGUGGCAAGAGGGAUUUAGUCAUUAAAUUGUUUGCUAUCCAUUUUCCUUUCUUUCUGUGCCACCAAAUGUUUGCAUUUAGGCUACUGAUAAUGUUACCAGGACCACGUUCAGUUGCAAAACGUUCUCGAACGUUGCAGAUAGAAAUUCCAUGAAUGGAGCCAACAUUAUUCCUUAUUCAACAUGUCAGAGAGGCAUGUUUGUUCUAUAUACACAUUUCUAUUGGAACGUUCCAAAACGUGACGUCCUGCUGAAAGCACCGCAGGUUGUUAGUUGUAGCUAGCUAAUGAGGUAACAUAACUGAACAAGGUGUAGCCUAUUCUUUGAAUCAGCUGUGUACUGCUAGGGAAAAAAACAAAAUGUGCCCCUUGGGAGGGAGGGCCCUGAGGGUUAGGAUAACUACCAGUAGAGUUAAUUUAACACAUUUAUUUUAACACUGUGAUUUCAACUAUCCUUGAUUUGCAGGUUGAAAGGGAGACACAAAAGGUGAACUGCUAUAAAAAAAAAAUAGUAUAGAAAAGUAUUUUGUAUUUUGAAAAUGCAAAUUUCAGCUCUCGAAAGUAUCUUGUUACAAAAUACAUUGGGAUUGUAGUUCAGCCCAAUGUAAUUCAAAAAUGACAAAAUACUCAGAAGUAAUUGAAAUACACAUUUAAAAUACAUGUAACAGGAAUACUCGCCAUCUCUGCAUGCAGCAGACAACCCUGGUGAAGUGGCCAAGAAGAUCCCCCAUUUCUUUGAGCUGCCACUGGACGACCAUCUUACCACGACCAGGGAUCUGACCGUGCUGGUGUCUCAGAUGAAUGACAAGCAAAUGGACAAGACAGAGCUGGGCUAACUCCGAGCCAUCAUCCUCUUCAACCCAGUUUUUCAGCGGCAGGGACUGGGAGACUAGUCGGGAUGGAGGGAAAGAUGAACAGGGCAGAGUACAGAGAGAUACUGAUGAAAGCCUGCUCCAGAACGCUCAGGACCUCAGACUGGGGUGUUUUACCUUCCAACAGGACAACAACCCUAAGCACACAGCCAAGACAACACAGGAAGGGCUUUGGGACAAGUCUCUGAAUGUCAUUGAGUGACCCUGCCAGAGUCCGGACUUGAACCCGAUCUAACAUCUCUGGAGAGACCUAAAAAUAGCUGUGCAGUGAUGUUCCCCAUCCAACCUGACAAAGCUUGAGGGGAUCUGCAGAGAAGAAUGGUAGAAACUCCCCAAAUACAGGUGUGCCAAGCUUGUAGCAUCAUAUCCCACAAAGACUCAAGGAUUUAAUCACUGCCAAAAGGUGCUACAACAAAGUACUGAGUAAAGGGUCUGAUUACUUAUGUAAAUGUGAUAUUUCAGUGUUUUAUUUUAAAUACAUUUCCCAACAUUUAUAAAAACCUGCUUUUGCUUGGUCAUUAUGGGGUAUCGUGUGUAGAUUGAGGGGAAAAACAAUUGAAUCAAUUUUACAAUAAGGCUGUAACGUAACAAAAUGUGGAAACAGUAAAGGGGUCUGAAUACUUUCCGAAUGCACUGUAUACAUUUUGAACAAGAUUAUCUAUUUUGGAUGCAAUUUCAAUGGAAUUGAUGGAGAGAGAGUGUUCACGUGCACACUGAUUUCAAGCAACACUAUUCAAGUGAUACUGUAUGUUGUUAAUUCCACAAGUGAAACAAAAGGUAACCCCAAAAGCCAGAUGGAGAUGUGUAAAUUAGAUGUGCAUUUAGUCCUUAUAUUACUGUAGCAUAUGCAGGUACUACAAUGGAAAUAAAUCCCUGACUUUAUUGUGCAAUCCCGGUGACUUUUACAAUUAUUUGUGUGUGUGUAUAUAUGUAUUUUUUUUUUACUGACAAAUAAAAAUCAAAUCAAUCCAAA
ensembl:lncRNA